GUUGGUGAUAAAGCUGCAAUGGGUAAAUUGGUGAAAGACUCAGAAAGACAGACAGACAUACAGACACAGAGAGACAGACAGCCAGCCAGGUAGACAGACAAACCAUAAACCUAACCCUAAACUAACCCUACUUCAUGUCCACAUACCUGGGGUAAGUUGUGCCGAGAGACCACUUUAUUUGGACAAGAUAUGUUUUGAAAACUGUAAUGUUUUCAGAUUAUUUCCAGGGAUACACAACAUCCUGAAAAAUAUGUAAAUAUCUUUGUAUACUAUAAUACUAUGUUUCCCUUGAUGGAGAAAAGCUGAAUGUAAAAAAUGUGCUCAACUUACCCCACUCUCACUUACACUGAAAAUAACAUUUGGGUUGGGUUCGGGACCAGUUCUUGCGGAACUGCGGUUAGGUUCGGGACCACUUCUUGCAGGACUGCGGGUGGGUUCGGGACCAUUUCUUGCAGGACUGCGGUUGGGUUCGGGACCAGUUCUUGCAGGAGCAGAUGGGAGUCUGACAAAAAGCCAGUGGGGGUGAGCUGGUACGGUAUGAAAAGCUGCUUGUGUGGUUGGGUGGGAGCGGGAUGAAGAAAUCAGUCCUGUGCAGACCUCUAGCUCUACUGUUAGCCAGAUAGCUAGUUAUAACUAGCUGGCUAGAAGGAUGAAGUCAGAAGCUAAUGUUUAACAGAGCCUGACCUCAGCAGGAGGAGUCAACUGAAAUUAAACUAGCUAUAAUCUUAACUAAAGAUAUGCUAUUAGAAGUUCUCAUAACAAAAUAACUUUGCUUUACAGAGAGCAGUGAGGCAGACAGUGGUGAGGCCGACCGCAAUGCAGACACACAGACAGAGACAGCAAGCAGAGAGAUUGGGGUCCCCUGAAAUUGAGAAUGUUUCAUCUUAUCAAACACAUUGUUUAUCAUCAAAUGGCUUUAGAAUACAUAUAUUUUUUUAUUCAACAAGGCAAGUCAGUUAAGAACACAUUUUUAUUUACAAUGACGGCCUACACCAGACAAACCUGACGACACUGGGCCAAUUGUGCUCCGCUCUAUGGGACUCCCUAUCACAGCCGGUUGUGAUACAGCCUGGAUUUGAACUAGGGUGUCUGCAGUGACACCUCUAGCACUGAGAUGCAGUGCCUUAGACCGCUGCACCACUCAGGAGCCACAUACAACAUUUUUUGAGUCAACUACGGUCCUUUUACAAUGCUAGAAUGCACUUGCUUGUCAUUAUGUGUUGGGACAGCCCGUGGGACCUAAAAUGUAAUAAAUUAAAUAGACAAUUUAAUAUUAUUCUCAUGUAUUUGAAAAUCUAUUGUUAAAACUGCUUUGCAGAGAGUAGUGAGACAGACAGUGAUGAGGCGGAGGCAGGCUGCAAUUCAGGAGGAGGUGGAGGAGACAGACAGACAUCGAUGAGGCGGAGGCAGGCUGCAAUUCAGGAGGAGGUGGAGGAGACAGACAGUGAUGAGGCUGAGGCAGGCUGCAAUUCAAGAGGAGGUGGAGGAGACAGACAGUGAUGAGGCGGAGGCAGGCUGCAAUUCAGGAGGAGGUGGAGGAGACAGACAGUGAUGAGGCUGAGGCAGGCUGCAAUUCAGGAGGAGGUGGAGGAGACAGACAGUGAUGAGGCUGAGGCAGGCUGCAAUUCAGGAGGAGGUGGAGGAGACCGACAGUGAUAAGGCUGAGGCAGGCUGCAAUUCAGGAGGAGGUGGAGGAGACAGACAGUGAUGAGGCGGAGGCAGGCUGCAAUUCAGGAGUAGGUGGAGAAGACAGACAGUAAUGAGGCGGAGGCAGGCUGCAAUUCAGGAGGAGGUGGAGGAGACAGACAGUGAUGAAGUGGAGGCAGGCUGCAAUUCAGGAGGAGUUGUUUCGGUUUAUAUUGGUGUUUGUUCGUCUUAUCUCGAUCGUCCAGUGGAGUUUAUAGUUUAACAACCUUUUUUUUUUUACCACUGGUAUCACUGGUGACCUUUUAAGAAAGCCCUGUGUCGAGGUUCAGCUUAAUUUGGCAGGAGUGACUUAAUUCAUCCUCAACAUGGUGCUCCAUUCUCUCCCUGCGAAAACACAUUUCCAUCAUCUGAAUUGUUAGUGUCCCCAGGAGGCCGUACAUUGACUUUCAGGUUCCUGUGAUUACAGGAAGUGUCUUAAUUGGGGGUCAUAGGGGCGGUUUUGAAGGAUUAUAAAAGUUAAAUCAACCCAAAAGCAUUUUUGACCUCUAUUGGACAUAAUGGUCUUGCAGUUCAAGAAAUUAAAAUUACCUGGCUACCCAGACUCCUCACUCCGGCCAAACGCCCACGAACGUUAUUUUCUUCUUCGCAAUGAGUCUGGAUCUGAGUACCUCCGUUGGGAGGCAGUCUCAGACUAACGAAUGUAGCAAACGACAGAGCAGCAGAAUCAUUUAGUGUGAGUCGUUAGGCUUAAAAAUUGUUAGAAUGAAUUCUGAAGAGCAUGAUGGUCACAUUUUUAUAUAUUUACUUGAAACUGUCUGUCUGUCUGCCUGUGCAUGUCUUGCUGUCUGUCUGUCUUUCUGCCUGCCUACAGCUCUCUGUCUGCCUGCCUGCCUGCCUGCCUGCCUGUCUGGUUCUCGGAAUAUCUUUCUUUGAGUGUCUGUUUGUCUGUCUGAGUCUUUCACCAAUUUACCCAUUGCAGCUGUAUCACCAACCUUUUCGCCUUGGAAGCAAUGUAUUGACUUAUGCGCCAAUGCCCUGUCUGUGAAGAUGGGAGAGAGGAGGAAGAGAAAGGAAGGAG
ensembl:lncRNA